UACGUAGGGUGCGAGCGUUGUCCGGAAUUAUUGGGCGUAAAGGGCUCGUAGGCGGUUUGUCGCGUCGGGAGUGAAAUCCACUGGCUUAACUGGUGGCUUGCUUUCGAUACGGGCAGACUGGAGGUAUGCAGGGGAGAGCGGAAUUCCUGGUGUAGCGGUGAAAUGCGCAGAUAUCAGGAGGAAUACCGAUGGCGAAGGCAGGUCUCUGGGCUGAAACUGACGCUGAUGCACGAAAGCGUGGGGAGCAAACAGG
rnacentral:rRNA from 1 species